CACAGGUAGUCCAGGUGCCUGCUGUUAUUUAUAAUAAAGGCAAGCGCAGCAGAAGCACCGGACGGUGGCCCUGGAGGCCGGCAGAGGAGGCCUGAGCAGUGUCAUCUCUGAAGGACAGUUAAAAGUGGACUCUCCCCCUUCACUGUGUUCUUUAUCAUAUUGAAGAAAUUUGUGGUUAACUGAAAGUUUUUAUUAUGACUGAGUGCUGUAUUAGAAAAAAGAUGAAGGAAAGAAAAUUAAGGAAAAGAAGAAAACAAGCAAAAAUGCUCAACAAAGAUGUCAUGGCAUAAUAGUCCAUUAUGCCUCCAAUUGAGCCGUCAUGAACUAUCAAAGAAAUAAUUGCACAAUAGACCAUAAUGGCUUAAUCGUGUCAACAUCUUUGCCAUUUACAUAUUUUUUUAAUCAAUGGAAAUUAAGUACAAAAAUGAGUCUUUGGAUUUCCAUCCUGAUUUUACCUUUGUGUUUGGGGGUGGGGCGAGGCUUGGGUUCUCCCCGCCACCUUCAAGGGACUUCACCGGAUGUAUCUGUUGCUGGCUUGGUUGGCAGGCCCUGGAAGGGCACUGGAGGGGCCCAGACAACCAUGCUGCUGGGGCCAGAGGAUGCAACACUGUGCCUUGCUGGUCCCUGUGGCAGAGUCAACAGUGGGAAGCUUUGGUGUUGUCCAGGUCCUGGCAUGGAUUGACCUCCAACCUUCUGCAGGAACACAGGCUCGUUCUCUCUCACUCACACCUGCCUUUCUGGUCCCAGCCAUUUGUCAUGCUUGCAAAUAUAUCCAUAAGUAAGGCACUUCACUCCAAAGAGAAAACCAACCAUUUAAGUGGCUUCACCUCUGAACCACUCACCAUCACCGUGGCCCACACUUGAUUUUAUUGUGGCUCCUCCCACUCAGGGUUUGACUACUAUAGCUCAAUGGCCUGCUGGGGUGAAAAACAAUAGUACCAGCUGAUCUGCC